ensembl:miRNA MIR6820 microRNA 6820
CCUUCUGCGGCAGAGCUGGGGUCACCAGCCCUCAUGUACUUGUGACUUCUCCCCUGCCACAG